UUGGUGCUCAAAUACAUAUGUUUUAUUGCUAUGAAGAAAUAGUUUGAUGACACCCUCAAGCAAAUAAAGACAUAUUUGGAUUAUAGCCAAACUGGAGAAAAAAACUAGAAGUUGCAUGGAUCACUUUUCAAAUUAACUUGAGAAAUUUCAACAAAACAUGAGCUCUGAAACAGAAUCAUGACUGUAUGCGACUCAAUAAAGUUCAAUUAUUGGGAGAAACAUAUUGAUUGUAUCAACAUGAAAAUUGUUCAUAUUUCUAUUACAUGAGUCACACACAGCAGCCAAAGCAUCUUGUAUGAAUAAUUAAUAAAGAACUUCACAUAAUAAUUAAUAACUUAGAUAGAAGAACAAUUCAAGAACCAUCAUGAUGGCUUCUACAUGCUGCACAUAUUGUUUGUUUGUUGAUCUAAUGAAACUUCAGAGGCAAUGCAAAGAAGCGAUUAAGUUCCAAGUACAUCUUACCUAUGAUUCUGACACAAAAAAGUCAGAGGAUAAGAAAAACUACAAUACCACUGAUCAAAGUAACUUCCAGAGUUCACAAUCCUU
rnacentral:lncRNA from 1 species